CAGAAUUUGAAGAAUGCAGCUUAACCGAAAGCAACGUUGAUACAAUAAUUAAUAAGUAGAUGACUGUCUAUAGCAAAGUUAUCGUAUAGAUUACCCACAAUUUCAUCAGGAGAAGGAGCAAACGAUGAAUUAACGUACAGUACCUAUGGAUUAUAAGUUAGAGAAAGUUUUGAGUUUGUAUAAGCGGACAAACUUACCAAGGAAGAGUUCAUCGGUAGUCCAAGCUCUUUCUUUAAAAACCGAGUCACUUUUUCGAAUCUUUGACUAGCAUUGAUUGAAAAAACAGUCUUUCGAAGUAAGGGUGUUCUUCCAAUUGCUUUAAAUCGUAAAUUAACUAAAAAUAAUGGUUAAACAAUUGAAAAAUGAAACGUGAAGGCUAGCACUAAUUCAUUACAAACCUCUUCGAUUCUCUUUCUCUCUAUAUGUGUUGAUUAUGGUCUCAAUGGAUGGAAGCUGAUUUUCGAUAUCCUCAUUUUGGCUAUCUUCCUCAGUAGCCAAGCGUUUUUCGAGUUCCUGUUGAUCGACUAAUCCCGUCAUUAAUACCGUUAUCGAGAAAUCAAUUACUCAUAAGUACAGAACCAGUAUUAAAUUAAAUCUUCAAUUCGUAUAGUAGCCUUAAUUAAUACUUCAAUUGAUAAAAAACG